CCUACGGGUGGCAGCAGUAGGGAAUAUUGCUCAAUGGGGGAAACCCUGAAGCAGCAACGCCGCGUGGAGGAUGAAGGUUUUAGGAUUGUUAACUCCUUUUUUGAGAGAAGAUAAUGACGGUAUCUCACGAAUAAGCACCGGCUAACUCCGUGCCAGCAGCCGCGGCAAUACGGAGGGUGCAAGCGUUAUUCGGAAGCAAUGGGCGUAAAGGGUGCGCAGGGGGGCUUGUAAGUCAGAUGUGAAAUCCUGUAGCUUAACUACAGAACUGCAUUUGAAACUAUGAGUCUAGAGUGUGAGAGAGGUAGGUGGAAUGCUUGGUGUAGGGGUGAAAUCCAUAGAUAUCGAGAAGAAUACUGAUUGCGAAGGCGACCUACUGGAACCUUACUGACGCUCAUGCACGAAAGCGUGGGGAGCGAACAGGAUUAGAUACCCUUGUAGUC
rnacentral:rRNA from 1 species